rnacentral:tRNA from 1 species
GGAGAGAUGGCUGAGCGGACGAAGGCGGCGGUCUCGAAAACCGUUGUAGGGGGCAACUCCUACCGUGGGUUCGAAUCCCACUCUCUCCGCCA